CCCUUUAUAAGUUCUAUCCAUAUAUGCUCUGAUCGCAAACUCAUACUUGAUCCGAUUACAUUUUAUUAGAAUUGAGAGAAUACUUCAAAUUUUUUUGACUUUACUUUUUUUUUUUUGUUUCCGAAGUAACUCUCAUCAACUAGCACUAGUUUGGUGUGAACCUUUAGGAGUAAUUCAUCAAAUUGAUUAAAUCUAAAAUAAUAGCAU
rnacentral:lncRNA from 1 species